GGGCAUCAAUCUCCUGGUGCAGGAGAGAACACCUCUGCCAUAGGGGAUGCAGCAGAAAAGGCCAAAUGGAUGGUCCAGGAGGUUCUGGAGAAGAGUUCAGGAGGAGAGGAAACAAUGGAGGAGUAUAAGAGAUUGAGCACCUUGACACACUGCACAAGACGGCAUCAUAUCCUGGUCAGCCACAUUGUUGAAAUGCAUGGGAACUCUGGAUCUCAUUCAUAGUCAGCAUUGGGUCCUUGGUUACCUGUCUGACCAAGGCCCCUUUGUCCCAGGAUUACUCAGUUUGGCUUGCAUUUUUGCGGAGAGUUGGAGGAUUUUGUGUAGAUGUUGAUGAAGAUGAUAUGUUUGUUAUAUCUCUGUCAGUCGUCUGAAUAUUUUUAAAUGUUUUU